rnacentral:rRNA from 1 species
AUUGAACGCUGGCGGCAUGCUUUACACAUGCAAGUCGAACGGCAGCGCGGGCUUCGGCCUGGCGGCGAGUGGCGAACGGGUGAGUAAUGCAUCGGAACGUGCCCAGUAGUGGGGGAUAGCCCGGCGAAAGCCGGAUUAAUACCGCAUACGACCUGAGGGUGAAAGCGGGGGACCGAAAGGCCUCGCGCGAUUUGAGCGGCCGAUGUCGGAUUGGCUGGUUGGUGGGGUAAAGGCUUACCAAGGCGACGAUGCGUAGCUGGUCUGAGAGGACGACCAGCCACACUGGGACUGAGACACGGCCCAGACUCCUACGGGAGGCAGCAGUGGGGAAUUUUGGACAAUGGGGGCAACCCUGAUCCAGCCAUGCCGCGUGCGGGAAGAAGGCCUUCGGGUUGUAAACCGCUUUUGUUCGGGAAGAAAUCCUCUGGGCUAAUACCCCGGGGGGAUGACGGUACCGGAAGAAUAAGCACCGGCUAACUACGUG